CCAGAUCCCUUUCGCCUGGCAGAAAGAUCAUAAAGUAAACUCUUUCUGAGUGGAGUACUAUAACUCAUAACUGCAGUUUAAAUCUGGGCUUUAAAAAAACAAAUAUUUUAAUAAGCCAAUUUUAAAGGCUGAACUUUUAUGACAGUUUUUAAGCUUAGUAUUUAUAUUAAUCUAUUCUCACUGGUGUCUUAAAAAACCCUGUGAAUGUAUGCUGGAAUGUCUGUUUAUGUUUGUGUCUUGUCCUGGGAAAGGAUAAAUGUGCUGCAAAAAGCAAACCAAAAACAAAGCCUUCUGCGAGAAAGAGUUCAUGGAUGAGGCAAUAAAAUUCAAAGAAGAGAUGACUAAGUUAGCGUAGCCAAGAUACAGAGAGAGCCAUAAAGUAGACAUAGAAACUGAGGGAGACGGACAUGGAUGCACUCAAAAGUAAAGCCAAGAUGGAACACUAAAAGCAGAAACUGCCUAAAAGCAUAUUUUACA
rnacentral:lncRNA from 1 species